rnacentral:rRNA from 1 species
AUUGAACGCUGGCGGCAGGCCUAACACAUGCAAGUCGAACGAGUGGCGGACGGGUGAGUAAUGUCUGGGAAACUGCCUGAUGGAGGGGGAUAACUACUGGAAACGGUAGCUAAUACCGCAUACCAUCAGAUGUGCCCAGAUGGGAUUAGCUUGUUGGUGGGGUAACGGCUCACCAAGGCGACGAUCCCUAGCUGGUCUGAGAGGAUGACCAGACCAACUGGAACUGAGACACGGUCCAGACUCAUACGGGAGGCAGCAGUGGGUACUAUUGGACAUGGGGAGCAAGACUGAUGCAGCCAUGCCGCGUGUAUGAAGAGGGCCUUCGGGUUGUAAAGUACUUUCAGCGGGGAGGAGUUACCCGCAGUAGAAGCACCGGCUAACUCCGGGCCAGCAGCCGCGGUAAUAC